AAUUCUCAGUCCAGGACUAUAGAGCCCCAUUCCUCCAGCACAGACAGAAGCUGUUCCACCACAGGAGAAUGCUGUGGUUCUGAAUCUGUUUUGCAAACUUCAGUGUGCAACAAUAUGCUCAGGAGAUGGAGUGAUGAGGAUGAGGAGGAGGCUGGCAGCAGUGGGGGAAGGGUUUUUCCUGAUCCCAGCUGAUGAUCAGCUUACACCCUAAAGCAGUGGUGGCGAACCUAUAGCACGAGUGCUGCCGCCAAAAAAGCUCUGAAAGGUUCAGCAUCGCUGCCCUAAAGCAUAAGAAUUCAUAUUCAGGGUAACUUUAUCACAGUCAGAAGUUUAAAUGUGCGCUCAUUGGAUGAAACAGCCAAUCCUUUCUACAUGCCGUUCACUUAGGAAGUAUGAUGCCUGGACUGUCAAACACUGUUUCCCUCCGGCCUCUUGGGCACAGCUCUCCCACCCUAGGCCCAGUGGGCAGCUAUCUGGGUGAGCCGCCUUCUCUGCAUGAUGGUGGGGAAGGGAAGAGGAGGUUUGUGCGUGUGUAUGUGUGUGUGUGUGUGUGUGUGUGUGUGUGUGUGUGUGUAGAGAGGGGACAGGAAGGAAGGAGGGAGGGUGUAGGGGAAGGGAACGCCAGGUGUUGCAGUGGGCGGCUACACAAACACGGGAAGAAAACAGACUCUGGGCAACUAACUCUAAGGUUCACUGCAACCCCAAGACUCAAAGCACUUGAGGGUCAGGGAGGCAAGGAGAGGAGGGGAAGAGGCUGUGGAGAGGGGUGCACCUGGGUAUUCAGGCGCCCCUCAUCUGAGCCAGCAGCACCCAGGGUUUCGCAGCACGGUGCCCGCUGAGGGAUCCAAAGCCAGGAGACUCAAUUAAUCAAAGCGCUGCUGCUGACGGAGCACAGAUGAAAGGGUUUCCAGGCUCGUCGGUGAUAUGCUUGGAGCCCUUCCAUGCGGGUAACAGGAGAGGGGCCCUGGGAGGGUCCAGGUCUGCUGGUAGGCCAGGCCCCAGGAGGCGCUGCAGCCGGAGAGGGCGUGGCCUAGAUGAGGGCGUGGCCUCUCUCAUCCCCUCCCCCGCGGGGCGGGUCCGGCUCGCGAUGCCACGCUGGGCGUGGCCGGCGGUCCUGAGGUCAAAGCGGGCGGCCGGUGCCGUGGACGCGCCCUGCCCGGCUGGCCGGGUCUUCGCGGCCGGCGCCCGGCUCCGGCGGGCUGCAGCGGGGCGCGGGGCCUCGGGUCCCUGACCCGCACCGGCCGGGCCCUGCGCCCGGCUCGCCUUUGUCCAGGCCUCGGCGCUGCCGCAGCCCCGGUGCAGCGCUGCGUUCCAGGAACUUUAGGCACCGCCGCGGGGUUCUUGGAAGACGUUGAGAGGAAAAGCAGCGUCUGGCGGCCUGUCCAAAGGCUCCUGAGCCACAGACGGCAUUCGGCCAGGGCCCUGCUGCCCGGGAGGGGCAGGCAGUGACCGGGGCUUUCCAUAAAAGCUCUGGAUCCGCUCCUCUCCUACCUUCUGUCCUUAAUUAGCGCCUCCUUCCUCCCUCCGAGCCCAGGGAACACGGAGGCAGGUGGGCCGCGGAGCGCGGCCGGCCUGGGGCUUCCGGCGGCCCGGGGUGGAGGGGGCGUCGCUAUGGCAACGAGCUCUUCCCGUGGGAAUCGGGGACUGGCGACGGUGGGCAGAUUGGAAAAGGACCGUCUGAGUGCCAGCUGCGGCUCCGGGCGGGCGGGGCCAGGGAGGGGCUCUUGGGUGGGAGCGGGGCGGCCUGGGCAGCAGCCCCAAGCCCGCAUCCUGAGUCACAGCGGGCCACGCAUGCUGGACACGUGACGUGACGUACUUGCUGUCGCUGCCAGGGAGCAGAUGUGUUUGCUGACUUGCUCUGAGUGGCCACUACCCAGUUUGGGCCUGGACAGGGGAGUGGGAUAGGUGGGAUCCUUCAUGAGUCUGCCCUGGUGUCCUCGCCAGAGCACAGGGCUUUGAACGAUGGAGUUUGGUGCUGGAUGGCAGAGGACACUGAUUUCUUUUUGCAGUCUCUUAAGCUCGAAAUGUUUUUCAAGUCAUACGUUAUAUUUUUUCCAGUUCAGAAAAGUACAGAAAAGAAGGAAAUGAAAAUAAUCCACAGUUCCCAAUCAUUCCACCCAAGGGUAAUCACUGUUGACAUUUUGCGAUCAUUGUUUAUUCUUCCUGUGCACAGGUAAGUAUAUAGAUGUAAGUGGAUUUAUAAAAUUGACGACACUACACGUAUUCGGUCACUUGCAUUUUCACUUGUCACAGACUUGGAAAAUGAACAAUUGAUAGCAUUAUUUCUAAUGGCAGCACAACAGGCCCAUAAUCUAUUAACCAAUUGCUGUUGCUGUAAACUUUCUUCCCAAAGUUUACUCUUGUAGGUGGUGAUAAAUUCUAAAAUUAGAAUUAUUGAGUCAAAGGAUAUAGGCAUUUAAAGUUUGUAUAUUUCUAGUAUUUUGGGUUGUUGCAUUUUUUUUAGGGAUGAGUGGACUUUAUUUUCUUUUCCAUCUACUUUUGGAGUAAUAGGGAAAGGCUUAUUUUAUAUGUGUCAUCUAUCUACCUAUCUAUCAUAAAUUUUAGACCCCUCCUCUGACUCCCAGAACUAAAAUCUGAAAUUCGCAUCUAGAUUCGAGGAGUUUUUUACAGAGUCCUCCAGACAGUACUCUGGGCAGUGAAGUGGACACUACUGGGGACAAGUAGGGCAGAGUCUGGCUGGUGGCACUGAGAGACAUGCUGAACACUCCUUGAAAGUGUCUGCCACUGCCCUCCGAGGAGCAUUAACUCUCCUGGUCUUCUGACCUCUGUUGUCCCUUGGAAAAUGUCCACAGGUAAAUUCUGAAGCAGGCCAAUGGGAUGUGGCUGGAGCACCUGCGGCCCCGCUGCAAAUGAAUUACGACUCCUUCCCAAACCCACGCCAAGGAGUGAGGUUAAUCUCAGGACAAAAGUGCAUAAUGGGUUAAGGUUUUUAUUUGUCCCGCUGCCUUCCCUCCCUGUUCCCUAAAUCAUUUUGUGGUGCCAACUCCUGCUGCCCAGGAUCCAAAGUGGUUUAACUCUUCAAGGCACAGCAGUGAAGUGCCUGAUUUGAACAAUUUUAAUGUUACAAAUAAAGUCUGCUACCCUUCCAGGCAUCCUAACAUUUAAUGACAGGAACCAAAAGGGAGAGCAAUUCUUAACUGUGGGACCUGUUAGGCACUGUGGCAGCUACAUGGUUUUUUGGUAUGAGGCACCUAAGCCUGAGGUUGUCCACCAGAGGAAUUCUGUUGGUCCUUUUACCAAUUUCUUACCACUCUUGCUUGGGGUUCUUUUUCCCUGUUGGAGUUGUGUGACCAGUAACAAGCUCCAUUGCAGACUAAACAGAAAGAAUAAAAGUGGGGGAAAACCUGAUAAGUCAGCUUCUUGGCCUGUCCGGGGUUGGGAGAUUAUAGAUAUAUAGGAUAACAGAAAAGAGGGGGAGGAAUAAGCUGAUAGAGGGGAGGAAUAUUCAUGUGUUUUCUGGGAAUGGAUGAAGUUUUCCCCAAAUUCAAGUGCCGCCCCUUUUCAGUUCUUUCAUUGUUCUUUCUGGUUGUCAUCCUGGCAACCGACAGUUGCCAUGGUGAUGGGGGGUGUGUCAUUUAGAUGCAGAUGGGAUUAUGAUGAAGUUCCAGGCUGGCUGGCAGUUAAACUCUGGUAGUUAUCUUGGAUCCAGCUUGGUCCAGCUUCCUAACCUCUGGCCUCCAGGUGUCCUGUUUGCAAAGACAAAUAGGAGAGGGCAAGGUACACCUUCAGCAGGUCAGGUAGACUCUGUGAGACCAGGGCAGGUUAGCACUUUCUGACCAGCAGCAGGAAGGGCAUGGCCAGGUGAAAGCAAGUGGCUGGGGAGGAAAGAGGCCAGAGUGUUGGAUCCCUCCCCAGGAUGGCACUCAGAAAAUGAAGGAGAGAGAGCAGGGCUGAGUUUGCUGCUGGAGGGAAUGGGAACCAGAUGAGCUGCUAAGGGAGACAGGAAUGAGUUGGGUUGUUAAAAGGAACCAAGUGAGAGAAGAGAACGAAGCAGGAUGUCAUCUGGCUCUGGGCUACAAGAUGCACUUUAAUGACAGGCUCAGCCAAGUUCACCUCUCCUCUUCCUCCCUGGCCUUUCCAUCUGAGUGUCUAUUAGGGGUCUUCUUUGUUCCGUGAAAUGCUGAUGCUGCCUGGAGCUCUGUGCUGUGUUCUUUUCUCCAACUGAACACACACUCUAGGCAUCAGUGACCCACUCCCCAGGCUGCACUGCCAUCACACUCACGUGCUGCAUGGCUGGCUGGCCCAUCUCUUCCUUGGGAGCUCAGUUCCCACCUGAUCCAGAAGUUGCCAGAAAUUAUAGUGACAGAAGGAGCCUUGGGGGAGACAUUUAUUCCCUUCAGCUGUGUGUUCUCUGGUUUUCUUCAUAAUGAACACAGGUAUUCCCUAUUAACUUGUGGGCUGUUUGAGGAUGAGGCUUUGUGUGGCCUUUACUUUUCUGAUUCUCCACAUUCAGUGACCAUCACACAUUGGUGGCAUUGACCGUGUAGUAGUUUCUCCACCAGGACCAUUUGGGAAGUACCAGUUGGGACACUGUUCCUUCUGCAAGGCAUCUUUAUGGACACAGCUCCCUUCAACCAUGCACAGUUGUUGGUCACCAGGUGGUCACCAGCUCCUCAUCAGCCAUGGUCACGAUCUCAUGACAGCUAAACGUUUUGAAUCAAUUGAAGACAUCAAGGCAACCACAACAGCAAAACUAAAGCCAUGAAAAGAAAAAAGGAGGCAAUUGUGAUGGGCUACAGGUGUUUGAAGUGAGGGGGCAGUUUGAGGAGGAAUGAAUGGCCGUGUGUCUUUACCAUAAUAUAUUUUUAAAAAUGUAAAUACACACUGUAUUUUUCAGUCACA